AGGUUUCCGUAGGUGAACCUGCGGAAGGAUCAUUGUCGAUGCCUCAAUAAAUUCAACUUGUGAAAUUGUUUGGUUACCACUUGAGGGUUGUUUGGGGUGAUGAUGAGUCAUCUCAACUUCUCUUGUGUCAGGAGGUGUCAUCAUGAUUCCCUCUGGCAAACCUCAAACCCCGGCGCAUUGUGCGCCAAGGAAUCUAAAUCUUUAGUGCAUGCCUGUGGAACCGGUCACGGUGAUCCCAUGGGUUUUGUCAUGACAUUAUACACAAAAUGACUCUCGGCAACGGAUAUCUCGGCUCUUGCAUCGAUGAAGAACGUAGCGAAAUGCGAUACUUGGUGUGAAUUGCAGAAUCCCGUGAACCAUCGAGUCUUUGAACGCAAGUUGCGCCUGAAACCAUUAGGUUGAGGGCACGCCUGCCUGGGUGUCACACAUUUGUCACCCAUCCCAAUUCCUUUUCUAGGUGUUGAGAUGGAGUAAGAGUUGGCUUCCCACGAGCAUGGACUUGUGGUUGGUUGAAAAAUGAGUUUGUGGUGGCGGACACCGUGAUAAAUGGUGGUUGAGUGAUGCUCUAUACCGAUCAUGCGUGACUGCAUCAGAUUCAGGCUCUGACCCUGUGCGUUUUUAAGAAUGCUCUUACUGAGACCUCAGGUCA
rnacentral:rRNA from 1 species